GAUGAACGCUGGCGGCGUGCCUAAUACAUGCAAGUCGAGCGAACGGACGAGAAGCUUGCUUCUCUGAUGUUAUCGGCGGACGGGUGAGUAACACGUGGAUAACCUACCUAUAAGACUGGGAUAACUUCGGGAAACCGGAGCUAAUACCGGAUAAUAUUUUGAACCGCAUGGUUCAAAAGUGAAAGACGGUCUUGCUGUCACUUAUAGAUGGAUCCGCGCUGCAUUAGCUAGUUGGUAAGGUAACGGCUUACCAAGGCAACGAUGCAUAGCCGACCUGAGAGGGUGAUCGGCCACACUGGAACUGAGACACGGUCCAGACUCCUACGGGAGGCAGCAGUAGGGAAUCUUCCGCAAUGGGCAAAAGCCUGACGGAGCAACGCCGCGUGAGUGAUGAAGGUCUUCGGAUCGUAAAACUCUGUUAUUAGGGAAGAACAUAUGUGUAAGUAACUGUGCACAUCUUGACGGUACCUAAUCAGAAAGCCACGGCUAACUACGUG
rnacentral:rRNA from 1 species